GACGAACGCUGGCGGCGUGCUUAACACAUGCAAGUCGAACGGAAAGGCCUUUUCGGAGGUACUCGAGUGGCGAACGGGUGAGUAACACGUGGGUGAUCUGCCCUGCACUCUGGGAUAAGCCUGGGAAACUGGGUCUAAUACCGGAUAGGACCGCACUUUAGUGUGUGUGGUGGAAAGUUUUUUCGGUGUAGGAUGAGCCCGCGGCCUAUCAGCUUGUUGGUGGGGUAAUGGCCUACCAAGGCGGCGACGGGUAGCCGGACUGAGAGGUUGGUCGGCCACAUUGGGACUGAGAUACGGCCCAGACUCCUACGGGAGGCAGCAGUGGGGAACAUUGCACAAUGGGCGCAAGCCUGAUGCAGCGACGCCGCGUGGGGGAUGACGGCCUUCGGGUUGUAAACUCCUUUCGCCAGGGACGAAGCGUUUUGUGACGGUACCUGGAGAAGAAGCACCGGCUAACUACGUG
rnacentral:rRNA from 1 species